rnacentral:misc_RNA from 1 species
GUUUGCCCUUUCCCUGAGCCUCUUGCGGUUCUACAGACGGUGAUUGAAUCUUCUAUUGCUGUUGGAUCUGGGGUUCUUUCUUCAGAUAAAGAGAGGCGGUCUACGCUGCACAAUCAAGUCGGGAAGGCCUUAAGUUACUCAGCAGCUGUGGAUGAGGCACUCUCAAAUGUUUUAACACUUUCUGGGUUUUGUAUCCCUAAACUGGUAUUGCAGAUUGUCACCGUUGAUGCAAUUUUUAGGGUUACAAGCCCUGCUCUGAGUGAGCUUGUCAUACUGAAGGAAAUUGCUUUCACAGUUUAUAACAAAGCCCGCAGAAUAUCUCGAGGGUCCCCCAGUGACAUGGUUCAGUCGUCAUCCAUGCCCGGUAGAUCUCAUCCAGUCCUGAUGCAAAUGAACUCCCCAGUUCCAGGAAUGUGGAAGGACUGUGUUGGUCCUCGAGGCAUAGGAACUUCCCUUCAGAGAGAAGCUGACCUUGAUGCAAACCUAAGGCCUGGUAGUUGGGACAACUGGCAAGCAUCAAGAGGGGGAGGUCUUGGAUGUGAGCCAAACAGGAUCGGGGAUUUUUCUUUUCAGGAUGAAAUUCGUUAUUUGUUUGAGCCCCUUUACAUUCUUGCUGAACCAGGUUCAUUGGAUCGUGGACUUUCAUUUCCGAUGUCGGGUAAUCCAAUGACUGAAUCUUCAAAGCUUUUGUUGGAUGAUGGUACAAGUGGAAGUUUUAUGCAGAGUUCAGCUUCUUCAGGUGGUGGAGACACUGGACUGAACACUCAGUCUGAAACAUCUGUACCAGAUGGUUUUGGAUCUGCACAUCAAAAAUCACUUCCAAGCCUGCAUUGUUGUUAUGGUUGGACUGAAGAUUGGCGCUGGCUGGUGUGUAUAUGGACAGAUUCCAGGGGAGAAUUGCUUGAUAAUCAUAUAUAUCCAUUUGGGGGAAUAAGUAGUAGGCAGGAUACGAAAGGUCUGCAAUCUUUGUUUGUGCAAAUUCUGCAACAAGGAUGUCAGAUACUUCAGUCAUGUCCACCUGAGGCUGCCAUUGCCAAGCCUAGGGAUUUUGUCAUUGCUCGUAUAGGAUGCUUCCUUGAGCUUGAAUGCCAGGAAUGGCAGAAAGCCCUGUAUUCAAUUGGGGGAUCUGAGGUGAAGAAAUGGUCUCUGCAGCUAAGGCGAUCUGUGCCUGAUGGAAUGACUGCAAGUAGUAAUGGGACAUCCUUGCAAAAACAGGAAAUAGGUCUGAUUCAAGAAAGAGCACUUCCUUCCUCCCCUAGUCCAUUGUACAGUUCUCACUCAAAGGCUUCCUCUUUCAUGAAAGGUGGCUUAGGUCAACCAUCCACAAGGAAGCAGUUAAUUGGCGGACAGGGUGUAGUGGACAACUCCAGGGGCUUACUUCAGUUGGUGCAAAGCAUUAGUUUUGUCUCUCUUUCUAUUGACCAUUCCUUACAGCUUAUGAUUCAAGCGGACUCGACAAGUCAUGGAACAAGUCAAAGUAGUGGCAUUAUGAGUCAGCCAGGUUAUCUUGAAGGUUAUACCCCAGUUAAGUCCCUUGGUUCUACGUCCACCUCCUACAUUUUAAUUCCGUCACCCAGUAUGAGAUUCCUACCUCCUGUCAGUCUUCAGCUUCCUACUUGCCUGACUGCUGAAUCACCACCACUUGCCCAUCUUCUCCACAGCAAGGGAUGUGCCAUUCCCCUUUCAACAGGUUUUGUGGUUUCAAAAGCUGUACCUACAAUGAGGAGAGAUGUAAGGAGUAUCUCAAAAGAAGAAUGGCCCUCAGUUCUUUCUGUCAGCCUCGUUGAUUACUAUGGUGGCAGCAACGUCAUCCAUGAAAAGUUUUUGAAGGGUGUUGGUAAGGUUGGGGGAAGGGGUACAGGUUCGGAAACAAGAGAUGUUGAAAUAGCAGCUCACUUGAUUCUUGAGAACAUAGCUGCAGAGCUCCAUGCUUUAUCAUGGAUGACUGUAAGUCCGGCAUACUUGGAGAGAAGAUCUGCUUUGCCUUUACAUUGUGACAUGGUAUUAAGGCUUCGGAGACUGCUUCACUUUGCCGAUAAGGAAGUUUCUCGGCAACCUGUGAAAAGCCAAGUUUAGGAUACGUGUAAAUUGCAGCAUACACACAACUUGUUCAAGCCGUCCAUCUUGUGUCUUUGUUUCGUUAUAGAAACAGACUGUAAACACAAAAUGCAUAUACUAGUUCGCUGGAGAACAUCCUUUCUGAGAAGUGUUACCUUGGGAUAAAUUAGUAGUUGUAGGAUAGUAGAUUUUUAUUUUGUACAUAAUGUCAUGUAAACUAUUACAGGGAUCCAAAGAGUUGAGUACACAAUUCUUUAGUCCUUCUAAAAAUACUAUCAAGUGCUUGAGUCCCUCAUUAUCUUUACAACAUUCCAAGGCACUUGAUGACAGGAUGGUUUU